rnacentral:rRNA from 1 species
CCUACGGGAGGCAGCAGUGAGGAAUAUUGGUCAAUGGACGAGAGUCUGAACCAGCCAAGUAGCGUGAAGGAUGACUGCCCUAUGGGUUGUAAACUUCUUUUAUAUGGGAAUAAAAUGUUCCACGUGUGGGAUUUUGUAUGUACCAUAUGAAUAAGGAUCGGCUAACUCCGUGCCAGCAGCCGCGGUAUUACGGAGGAUCCGAGCGUUAUCCGGAUUUAUUGGGGUUAAAGGGAGCGUAGGUGGAUUGUUAAGUCAGUUGUGAAAGUUUGCGGCUCAACCGUAAAAUUGCAGUUGAAACUGGCAGUCUUGAGUACAGUAGAGGUGGGCGGAAUUCGUGGUGUAGCGGUGAAAUGCUUAGAUAUCACGAAGAACUCCGAUUGCGAAGGCAGUUCACUGGACUGCAACUGACACUGAGGCUCGAAAGUGUGGGUAUCAAACAGGAUUAGAUACCCGUGUAGUC